rnacentral:rRNA from 1 species
GAUGAACGCUGGCGGCGUGCCUAAUACAUGCAAGUCGAGCGAACAGACGAGGAGCUUGCUCCUCUGACGUUAGCGGCGGACGGGUGAGUAACACGUGGAUAACCUACCUAUAAGACUGGGAUAACUUCGGGAAACCGGAGCUAAUACCGGAUAAUAUAUUGAACCGCAUGGUUCAAUAGUGAAAGACGGUUUUGCUGUCACUAUUGAUGGAUCCGCGCCGCAUUAGCUAGUUGGUAAGGUAACGGCUUACCAAGGCGACGAUGCGUAGCCGACCUGAGAGGGUGAUCGGCCACACUGGAACUGAGACACGGUCCAGACUCCUACGGGAGGCAGCAGUAGGGAAUCUUCCGCAAUGGGCGAAAGCCUGACGGAGCAACGCCGCGUGAGUGAUGAAGGUCUUCGGAUCGUAAAACUCUGUUAUUAGGGAAGAACAAAUGUGUAAGUAACUAUGCACGUCUUGACGGUACCUAAUCAGAAAGCCACGGCUAACUACGUG